GGCUCCUUGGUCAAGCGGUUAAGACACCGCCCUUUCACGGCGGUAACAGGGGUUCAAUUCCCCUAGGAGUCA
rnacentral:tRNA from 4 species